rnacentral:rRNA from 1 species
AAUGAACGCUGGCGGCAGGCCUAACACAUGCAAGUCGAACGGGUCCUUCGGGACUAGUGGCGGACGGGUGAGUAACGCGUGGGAACAUACCCAAAGGUACGGAAUAGCCUCGGGAAACUGGGAGUAAUACCGUAUGUGGUCGAGAGACGAAAGAUUUAUCGCCUUUGGAUUGGCCCGCGUUGGAUUAGGUAGUUGGUGGGGUAAUGGCCUACCAAGCCGACGAUCCAUAGCUGGUUUGAGAGGAUGAUCAGCCACACUGGGACUGAGACACGGCCCAGACUCCUACGGGAGGCAGCAGUGGGGAAUCUUAGACAAUGGGGGAAACCCUGAUCUAGCCAUGCCGCGUGAUCGAUGAAGGCCUUAGGGUUGUAAAGAUCUUUCAGAUGGGAAGAUAAUGACGGUACCAUCAGAAGAAGCCCCGGCUAACUCCGUGCCAGCCGCCGCCGUAAGAC